GAAAGAUAGCCAAACCACUAAAAUACUAUUUCAACAGAGGAGGUCACAGAAUGGUGGAAUGGUAGAUCUGUAGGACUAAAGGAGACCUCAGAUUUGUCACUCUUAUCUGACUCAUGAAACUGAGACCCAGAGAGGUGAAAGGGUGUGCUCGGUCCGGUAGCUGUGUUGCAGACUAUGUGAAUGGCACCUCUUGGUGUCAUGCAAUGCAUAACAACCACCUGUGCAGCCUCAUGGCCCUGCACAACCUCCUGACCACAGCGAUGGAAUAAAGUGGUCCAGUCAGGGGCAUUUUCAGCCUCUGGGGAUGUUGAUAUAGUAACUCCUCCUCUUUUCCCAUACCCUGAAAAAAUGCAGCCCAAGAAGCUGCCGAUGCUCUUACAGCUGUGAGGGGAGGGGCUGCCCGAGGAGAGAGGUAACCUAGAGUUGAGAGAUGGAGGAAGAGAUACAGAAUCUGGAUGGCUAUGCUCUGAUCCUGUAAUCCGACUAUGCCUGAAUGUGGAUCUACCUUCCAAAGACUUCAGGGAGCCAGGAUGUCAGCAGCCUGGAGAGCUGAAGAAGGGAAGCAAACAUCUUCAAGACGUCUCCCGGCCUGCCCACUGCUCUGCCCAGGCUUGGAGGGAGGGAGAAAGGGACACAAAAGUUCAUGUCACACUCCAGGCUAAAAUUCUCCCAGGUGCCCUACCAUUACCUACAGGCAAACAGCCUAAUUCCUGUUUUCCCAAGACAGGAGAAGCCCUGCACAACCUGGCCUGGCCUCUCCCAUCCCUGUUCCAGGCAUGCUUUCUUGUGUGGAUCACUCACUCCCACCCUCAGAGGGGCCAGGCAUUUCCACACCUCUCCACUUUUGUCUCAAAUAAAAAUAUUCUGGAAUUAGAUAGCGAUAAUGGUUGUACAACAUUGUGAAUAUACUAAAAACCACUGAGUUAUACACUUUAAUUAAUUAAUUAAUUUAAGACAGUGUCUUACUCUGUUGCCGAGACUGGAGUGCAGUAGCAUCAUCACGGCUCACUGCAGCCUCAACCUCCCAAGCUCAAGUGAUCCUCCUGCCUCAGCCUCCCAAAGCCACAGGCAUGCACUGCCAUGCCUGACUAAUUUUUUUUAUUCUUAAUUUUGAAGAGAUGGGGGUCUCGCCAUGUUGCCCAAGCUUGUCUGGAGCUCCUGGGCUCAAGCCAUCCUCCUACCUCAGCCUCCCAAAGUGCUGGGAUUAUGGGCAUGAACUACUGUGCCUGGCCCAGUUAUACACUUUAAAGUGCUAAUUUUAUGUUAUGAUAAUUAUAUUUAUAGCAUUUAAAGCCCACUCAAGUGUCAUAUCCUCUAUAAAAGCCAUUCCUUAGCCUCUUCUGUCACCCAACCCAUCUUCCCACCCCAAAACAGAUCCCAUUUCUUCUAGGAUCCCUUUGUCCAUACUCAUCAAUACCCGCCUGGUCCACUGCAUGGUAGCCAGCAGUAUGUGUAUCUCCCCUUCAAGGGUGAAGCCCUGGAGGGCGAGAGAUAUGAGUUCAUCUUUGUGUGCCCCAGCGCCACAGCCUGCAUGCUGCAUAUAAGAAAUGCUCAACAAAUCUUUGAAACCAUUUCAACUCUUUCCUAUGCAAUAGAGCUGUCAAUGUAUCUGUGUCUCUUAAACCUCUCCUUCUGCCUGAAGACACUUUGGAUUUAUCUGGCUUGUGACCAGGCGGCUUCUGAACAAAUAGGGACUUUGAUCAGUUUCACAAGGUGCCCACAAGUGCCAAGCACUGUGCUGGGAGCAGUGGCCAUAACAGAACUAAAUGGCAUGGUCCCUGCCUUCAAGGAAUUGAUAAUCCAGUAGUGGGAGAUGAGGCAAGAGUCCAUACCCCUUUAUCCACAGUUUCACUUUCCGUGGUUGCAGUUACCCAUGGUCAACUGAGGUUCAAAAGCAUUACAUACAAUAAGAUAUUUUGAGAGAGAGAGAGAAAGGGAGAGGAAGUAACCACAUUCACAUGACGUUUUUACAGUAUAAGUGUGAAAUGCCUUUUGAUGAGAGUGAUGAGGAAGAUAGGUGGUAGACACAGCCCCUCCCCUCACUUCUGUAGCCUUAGUGCUGCAUUGACCCUUGGAGUCACCUACUCGGAAGGAUGUUCUAGAAUAGUGUGCUAGGAAGCUCUUCUUUGUGUCCAGUGGAAGGAUGUUGUUGAGGACGCUGGUUAGCACUCUGUGUUGACAAGACGAGCCAUGCUGAAGACUUACAUCUCUGUAUGUACAGAAGAGAGCUCAUCUGGCUCCAGGCAACGUCACCAUACCAGGUUUGCUGCCCGAUGUGUGGAAAGUGAUGACACCAAGACACCAAGGUGCAGCACAGAAAGAGGGUUACUCAUAAAGCAACCAAAUGAGGAGAUGAGAGUGAACUUCAACUCUGCCUCCCUGAGGAGUUGGGGCUAGAGAUUUUAAGGGGUCUGCAUGAGUGUGGGGCUGAGAUGUGGGGAUCAUUCCUUGGCCAAAGAGUGCAGGGUGAAGCCAUGGGAUGGGGGGAAUGAAACUACAUUCUCAUGCCAAUUUGGUUCCUCUGUGGGGGCCUUCAGAUUGGUUGGCGUCAGCCAUUCCGCUGGAAUUCAGGAUCUGAAAAACAUCUUAAGCAAUCCUUAAACGAAAGCCUUAUGAUGCUAACCUCAGAGAUCCUAUCCAUAAGAACAAUGGGAAUGCAAAUGGUCAUGUGUGGCUUUUAUUUAGCAAGCAGCUACAAGGAAGUGUGCCAAGUGCAGCCUGAUUAAUGCUUAAUUAUAUUUCUGUCAGAACCUGGCAUGUAAUUUUUGUUAACCCUGUGAUGGUUUCAGCAAGAGACCAGGCCACACUUUCCAGCGGUGGUGUUUUCCAAGGAGGUGAAGCCCAUGCAGGUGGCUCCCUCUUCUCUCUCUUCUUUCCAAGUGACCCUGGCAUAGGCAGACGCUUCCCUCUGAGCCAGCCCAUCCCUGUCUCCCUUUCUGUAUGGACAUCCUUUCUUCCUCCCUCCUGGCAGCAGGCUGAAGCAGCAGCAUCGGCACACAGGAAACACACAGCCUCUCACCCUGGCCCUGCUGGGGAUCCAUUAGGCCAGGCUGCCCAGAUCACGGUGGCGAGAUUGGAGACUCAAGUUGGGGUGGCGGCUGUGAAAUCGAGCACGCCUCCCAGGCUGCUUCGUCAGAAGCCAUUUAGGCCUAACUGACUUAGAAAAGGGAGGCUGUUCUGGGAAUCAAAAUCUAGCUUCCCAGAGUUUUCUCUGCACUGGAGUUGGGGGCCCAAGCCCCAGAUAAUAGUGUUACAGACAUUACAUGCCAUUUGCUCAUGGGAGCCUUCUCAGCACAUAUAUUCCUUGGGAACCUCACGGGACCAAACUGCUUGGAUUCAACUCCCAUUUCCUAAUCAGUUGUGUGGCCUUGGGCAAAUUACUUAACCUCUCGGUGCCUCAGUUUUCUCAUCAGUAAAAUGGGCGUAAGGUCAUUGUCUUAAUAAAUUUACACACGUACAGCACUUUGGGCCACAGUUGGUUCAUGGCUAGCACUAAACUAAUGUUAGCUGUCGCCACUCCCACCUAAGGCCAGUCCCUCCAGGAACCUGACACUUUUGGUGUUCCAUCUCUUCUUCUCAACCAUAUUCCUGUCAUGGUGGGUAGCACCCCUGUUCAUCCAGUUGAGCCAGCCACAAGCCUAGAGGUCACCCCACUCCCCAUCCCCACAAACCGUCAUCAAGUCUCAUCAACCUUAUUAACUUCCUUAAAAACUUCCAGAUCUGUUCCCCUCUGUCCUACUCUACAACUUCUCCCCAGAGCUAGCCCAGUAGCCCCCAAGUACAACCAUCCCAGCCACUACCCAUUUCCACCCUGCGGCCAGAGUCCUGCUUUGAAAUGCAGACCUGAUCUUGUCACCCCUCCCUGGACUCGCCCUGCUGAAAUCUCUUAAUGACUUUCCACUCCUCUUGGGGUGAAAAUCAAAACCCUAACACCAUGCAGACUGAGUCUGUUAGAAUAUUUUUGACCCUGAGGAUCAGAAACCCUAGCAAACCAGAUUUAAAUUACAGGCAGUUUAUUAGCUUCCUCACAGGUAGACUGGAUAGGGUGGGCUUCAGGCAUUGUAUGAUUAAGGCUCUAGGAACACGUCCUGCUAUUCUCUCAGCCCCGCCUUCGUCUCCAGGUGCCAGCUUUGUUCACGGUUCAGCUAGCAUUCUUUUGAUCAAUAUCAAGUGAAACACUUCCAGAGAAAAAAGGGAACAUCCUGCCCAGCCAUGAAAUAAAACUCCUUCCUGUCAGCCUGAGUGAGCCAGCUGAGGCCAUGUGCCCAUUCCCAACCAAAAAAUUCCUAGUGACAUGCGUACACUGAGUCCUUCCAUGCUCUGCCUCUGGUGGGAAAUGGGUUCUUCGGGACAAAAACACAUUGAAAUCAUGCUGAAAGAUACAACUAGUAUUAAAAAAGCUUUGCUUGAAUGAUGCACAACUCUGAAGAAUAUGGAAGAGAUAACCAUGAACCUUAUAGCUCCCCACUGUUCUCAAUGACGGAUCUAGGAUCACAGGUUCCCAGGGCCUUGACCCCAUGGAGAUGAGCAGCAAGAGCCAAGGGCUGGAGCACCAAGGGAGGACAAAAGGUGAGGGGCUUGCUGGCCUCAGAGGAGACUCAACGGAUGUGAUGGAAAAAACAAGAACGUGCUGCCGUAGCGUCUUCUGCACCCGGGCUGGGUUCUCAGCCUGCUAAUUGUUUUCUUUCUGAAAAUGGACUAGCCACCACAAGACUUGAAAGCAGGGACUCGAACCGCUAUUUGUACAUUGAUAGUCACAGCAGCACUAUUCACAGCAGCCUUUUGGUGAAGCCUUUUGAUUCACCUUUUGGUGAAAACAACCCAAAUGUCCAUCUACGGAGGACUGGAUAAACAAACUGUGUUGUACACAUAUGAUGAAAUAUUAUUCAGCCUUGAAAAGGAAGAAAGGAAUGAAAUUCUAACACGUGUUAAAUAAAAUUGAUAGGCCAUUUUUUUGGGCUAAGCUUCUGCACUAGGUCCCAGUAAGACCAGAGUUAAAGUCAAAAUGGAGUCACCCAUGCUAAAGUUUCACAUCACUAAACCUAAAUUAUUAUCUAUAGUUCUGAGAAAUCAGGAGAGAGAGAUAACAGCCAAUUUCCCAAACAGGCCAGCUUCAAUCUUCAAUAGACAGGAUAAUGAAGUUCCCUCUGCCUUAAUCCUUGCACACAAAAGGUAGCCUGGCAUAACCUGAGGUUCACUGAUCAGUGAUUUUUCUAUUUUUUCGAUCUCCUUGUCUGUGCCUUACAAGGAAAGUAGCUUUAAGUGACUAAUACACUUGGCUCUUUGCUUCCACUCCCGCUAGUUCUUUUCUGUCUGUAAGGCCAACCUCUCUGCUCAGCUCAUCGGAACAUGUAUUUUUUUUUUUUUUUUUUUUUUUUUUUGAGACAGAGUCUCGCUCUGUCACCCAGGCUGGAGUGCAAUGGCUCUAUCUCAACUCACUGCAACCUCCACCUCCCAGGUUCAAGCGAUUCUCAUGUCUCACCUCCCAAGUAGCUGGGAUUACAGGCCCAUGCCACCAGGCCCAGCUAAUUUUUGUAUUUUUUGUAGAGACAGGUUUUCAUCAUGUUGGCCAGGCUGGUCUCAAACUCCUGACCUGAAGUGAUCCACCCGCCUCAGCCUCCCAAAGUGCUGGGAUUACAGGUGUGAGCCACUGCGCCCGGCCCAAAACAUGUAUUCUGUUUUAUGGAAUGAAGUAUUGCCCAAUUUUAGAAUCACAAAUAAAGUCAGUUAAGAUCCUUAAACUGGAUUCGUUGUAAUUUUGUGUUUUGACAUAUGUUACAACAUGGACAAACCUUGAACAUAUUAUAAUAAGUGAAAUAGGCCAGACACAAAAGGACAAAUAUUGGAUGAUUCCACUUACAUGAGCUACCUAAAGCAGCCAAAUUCAUAGAGACAGAAAGUAGAACGGUGGUUGCCAGGGUUGGGAUGGCAAUGGGAGGCAGAGCGAGGAGUUAUGCACCCAGUUUCAGAGUGUGGGAUGGUUAAAAAGUCCUAGCCAUGGCGUGGUGGCUCACGCCUGUAAUCCCAGUACUUUGGAAGGCCGAGGUGGGUAGAUUGCUUGAGGUCAGGAGAUUGAGACCAGCCUGGCUAACAUGGUGAAACUCUGUCUCUACUAAAUAUACAAAAAUUAGCCAGAUGUGGUGGCAUGUGCCUGUAGUCCCAGCUACUCGAGAGGGUGAGGCAGGAGAAUUGCUUGAAC
rnacentral:lncRNA from 1 species